rnacentral:rRNA from 1 species
UACGUAGGUGGCAAGCGUUGUCCGGAUUUACUGGGCGUAAAGAGCGCGCAGGCGGUCGUUCAAGUCGCGUGUGAAAGCCCCCGGCUCAACUGGGGAGGGUCACGCGAUACUGAUCGACUCGAAGGCAGGAGAGGGUAGUGGAAUUCCCGGUGUAGUGGUGAAAUGCGUAGAUAUCGGGAGGAACACCAGUGGCGAAGGCGACUACCUGGCCUGUUCUUGACGCUGAGGCGCGAAAGCUAGGGGAGCAAACAGGG